GCAAGUCGAGCGCACUCUUCGGAGUGAGCGGCGGACGGGUUAGUAACGCGUGGGAAUAUACCCUUUUCUACGGAAUAGCCUCGGGAAACUGAGAGUAAUACCGUAUACGCCCUUUGGGGGAAAGAUUUAUCGGAGAAGGAUCGGCCCGCGUUAGAUUAGGUAGUUGGUGGGGUAAUGGCCUACCAAGCCUACGAUCUAUAGCUGGUUUGAGAGGAUGAUC
rnacentral:rRNA from 1 species